rnacentral:tRNA from 1 species
GUGGGUGUAGCUCAGUGGUAGAGUGCAUGCUUAGCAUGCAUGAGGUCCUGGGUUCAAUCCCCAGAACCUCCA